rnacentral:misc_RNA from 1 species
AGGUAAGAUUGUGUUUCUUUUAUUUUAUUUUUCUUUCUCAUUCUCUUGAAUGAGCUUACCUUACCUUUUCUGUUCAUUCACUGAUUGUUCCCAUACGUUUGACCAGUAUAUCAAAAAAUAGAAAGUGCAUCAAGCAUUGGUCUUUCCCAAACAUGUUAAGGGCAGGAUUUGAUUUCAGCUUCUUUUCCAAUCUCACUCAAGAUAAAUACAAGCAAUGUGCCUCAUUUAUUUAAUCUAUUUUGAUUUCAGCUUCUUUUCCAAUCUCACUCAAGAUAAAUACAAGCAAUGUGCCUCAUUUAUUUAAUCUAUUUUGAUUUAAUUCAAUUUGAGGCAUACUGUUUCUGAAUCUUUGAAAUUGGUAAUAAAGAACUCCUCAAUUGUACAUCAUUCAAUUUUUGCUUUAAAGACAUUACACUAAUAGAUACUGUAAAGUUUACUGAUUGCUUUUAUAGGAAAAUCAAAAUAAUUAGCUAUCCUUAGUUGCACAUAUUGAGCUAAUGAUUCCCUUUAAUAAGUUUACUCUUAUGUUAAUGUGAAUGGGCAUUCAACUGUUGGUAGAGAAUCAAAGGCAUGCAAUUGUUAUGUUUCAUAUGUGUUCUAGAUUUUAGAUUCUAUUGGAUAGUGUGGUUGAAUUUGGUUACUCCUGUUAGGGCAUUCUUUUAUCUUAGUAUAGUUGUGGUAAUUUUCUUUUGUAUCUGAACGUAAGAAAAUUAUACAACAGCAU